rnacentral:rRNA from 1 species
AUUGAACGCUGGCGGCAGGCCUAACACAUGCAAGUCGAGCGGAGCGGCGGACGGGGGAGUAAUGCUUAGGAAUCUGCAAGGUAGUGGGGGAUAACGUCCGGAAACGGGAGCUAACACCGCAUACUAUCAGAUGAGCCUAGGUCGGAUUAGAGAGUUGGUGGGGGAAAGGCCUACAAAGGCGACGAUCCGUAACUGGUCCGAGAGGAUGAUCAGUCAACCUGGAACUGAGACACGGCCCAGACUCCUACGGGAGGCAGAAGUGGGGAAUAUUGGACCAUGGGCGAAAGCCUGAUCCAGCCAUGCCGCUUGUGUGAAGAAGGUCUUCGGGUUGUAAAGCACUUUAAGUUGGGAGGCGUUACCAGCAGAAUAAGCACCGGCUAACUCCGUGCCAGCAGCCGCGGUAAUAC